GGUGGAGCAGCUCGGUAGCUCGCUGGGCUCAUAACCCAGAGGUCGCAGGUUCAAAUCCUGUCCCCGCUAC
rnacentral:tRNA from 5 species